rnacentral:rRNA from 1 species
UACGUAGGUGGCAAGCGUUGUCCGGAUUUAUUGGGUUUAAAGGGUGCGUAGGCGGCUUUGUAAGUCAGUGGUGAAAUAUGGCAGCUCAACUGUCAAGGUGCCAUUGAUACUGCAGAGCUUGAGUACAGAUGAGGUAGGCGGAAUUGACGGUGUAGCGAUGAAAUGCUUAGAUAUCGUCAAGAACACCUAUAGCGAAGGCAGCUUACUAGGCUGUAACUGACGCUGAGGCACGAAAGUGUGGGGAUCAAACAGG